CGGGGCCAUAUACCGUCAAAUCUUGGGUGAAAACCUCCUUCCCUCAGCCAGGGCAUUGAAAAUGGGUCGUGGAUGGGUAUUCAAGCAUGACAAUGACCCAAAACACACAGACAAGGCAACAAAGGAGUGGUUCGAGAAGAAGCACAUUAAGGUCCUGGAGUGGCCUAGCCAGUCUCCAGACCUUAAUCCCAUAGAAAAUCU